UUGAAAUUACAGAAAUUUGAAAUAUGUUGC
rnacentral:piRNA from 1 species